rnacentral:rRNA from 1 species
GGGAUACCUAAACUUCCCAUAGCAAACUGCUCAGUAACACAUGAUCAACUUGCCCUAUGGAGGACAAUAACCUCGGGAAACUGAGGAUAAUAGUCCAUAGUUGAUUAGGCUUGGAAAAGUUUUUCAAUGAAAGGAAUAAGAAAAAUGGUUCUUAUUCGCCAUAGGAUAGGAUCGUGGUCGAUUAUGGUAGUUGGCGAGGUAAAGGCUCACCAAGCCGAUAAUCGAUAGGGGCCGUGAGAGCGGUUGCCCCGAGAUGGGUACUGAGACAACGACCCAGGCCUUACGAGGCGCAGCAGGCGCGAAACCUCAUCACUACACGAAAGUGUGAAUGGGUUACCCAAAGUGUCCUUAUUGGACUGUGGUAGGUGAGUAAUGUCCCCUACUAGAAAGGAGAGGGCAAGGCUGGUGCCAGCCGCCGCGGUAAAACCAGCUCUUCAAGUGGUCGGGAUAAUUAUUGGGCUUAAAGUGUCCGUAGCCGGUAUGGUAAGUUCCUGGUAAAAUCGGGUAGCUUAACUAUCCGUAUGCUAGGGAUACUGCUAUACUAGAGGGCGGGAGAGGUCUGAGGUACUACGGGGGUAGGGGUGAAAUCUUAUAAUCCUCGUAGGACCACCAGUGGCGAAGGCGUCAGACUGGAACGCGCCUGACGGUGA